rnacentral:antisense_RNA from 1 species
CUUGAUCGACCCCAGCCACAGCGGCCGGUCCCGGUCGCGGCCGUAGGUGGCCAGUAGCGCCCGCGCCUC